rnacentral:rRNA from 1 species
ACAGGGGGGGCAAGCGUUGUUCGGAAUUACUGGGCGUAAAGGGUCUGUAGGUGGCCAACUAAGUCAGACGUGAAAUCCCUCAGCUUAACUGGGGAACUGCGUCUGAUACUGGAUGGCUUGAGUGUGGGAGAGGAAUGCGGAAUUCCAGGUGUAGCGGUGAAAUGCGUAGAUAUCAUUUGGAACGCCAAUGGUGAAAACAGGUUGCUGGGAGUGUGCUGACGCUGAGACACGAAAGCCAGGGGAGCGAACGGGA